CUCCACGGAUCGGGUCAGGGUCUCGGAGGAGAUGCGCGGCCGAUUGCUCAGUGCUCCGGGUUCCGUCCGAGCUACUGCCUCCAUGCGCACAAAGGCCCUGAGAGCCUGGGCCGGCAACUUGGAGGCUGGGUGGAGAGCCUCGGAGCCUGCCCCCAGACGGCCAGCGAUCAAAGAGAAGAGUGGAUCCAGGAAAAAUCGAGCCGCCAAGUGGUUGAUUGGCUUUGCCUCCACCAGCCUGAUGAAUAUUCAUGAGGUGUGCUCUCUUCGUGAGCCAGAGCUCUGCGUUCAGCCUGUGCGCCUGCGUGUGCGCGUGCGUGAGUGCGUGUGUGCGGUGCAGGUCACACACGCCUCUUCUGCUGCGUGCAGGACGCCAGCCCGCGCUUGGCCCGGAUUGGCCCACGAUGGUCUAGGAGAUGCCAUGGCAACCCCUGGCUGGUUAUCUGGCGGGUCUCCCCUUCUUCCCUUUUCCCGUCAAGCCCCUGUGGAUAAACCCCAGGCUGAUGGUGCAAAUGUCUGUGCUGGAUGUGUGCACACAGGUGUACAAGUAUCUGUGAGUGAGUGUGCAAGAAGCAGGGAGUGGAAGCAGCGGUCACCACCCCCCAGAGCAGGCAGCCCACGGGAACUCGAGGGGCCCACUGGCCACAGAGGGUGUGGGUGGGAGUCUGGUUCUAAUUUCCAAAAAGACUUGGGGGCAAGGCCACCAUUUUCCUCGUGGGAGGAGGUAGGUGAGAAAUUGCAACCAAUAUUCUGGAGAUUUGUUAAGUUUCCUUUAUUUGGGGACAUCAGAGAACUUAAUUCUUUGAUGUCAGCGGCUCAUCUAGAUCGAGAAACCAGAGGCCUUGGACCCAAAGUCAACUACUGACAUCUACUCAGCAUUACCGUGAGGCAAACUUCCUGCGUGUGCACAGGGCGGACAUUUCUGACACCCCACCUCCUCUGAACAGUGUGUGUGUGUGUGUGAGUGUGCAUGCUUGUGUGUGCGAGUGAGGUGCACCCAGAGGUCAUGGUCCCAUAUAGACGCACUUUGUGAGCCACGAGGCAGACUCAUUUGCACCGCCGACUGAGAACCAGGUGGCGGUGCGAUUGCUGUGGAGAAGCCCCAGGUCAGUUCCUGCUGGGCGCCUGGACCCUGGGAACCCUCCUUCUGCUUCUCCCUGGCUGUCCUGAGAACCCCAUCCUGCUGGCAGAGGCUGUGCUCCCAUCUGGAUGGUGGCGGGUGAGGGUAUUUCAGCAGGUCCUAGAAGGAGCAGGGUGCGUGGCUUUCCAUCACCUGGGGCUCUGUCAGCCCAGGUUCCUGGUGUUGAGGGAGGGGCUUGCCCAGGGAGUAAGGAGGGCUGGGGAGAAGGGAGAUGGGCUCUGCUGAAAAGCCCUUGAAAGGCAGCCCUCAGGACCUUCUCCAGGGCUUGGGGUUGGGUCCCUGGGAGGGCCUGGGUGGGCAGUGGGAGCAGCGCAGGGGCCCAUGGUCCUGGGUGCACCUGAGUGUGAGGAUGGAUGGGUGUCCCGGACAGUCCAGGAGACUUGGAGAGGCAGGAGGCAGAGCAUCCCAGAGAGGAAGUGUGAGAAAGGGAGGGAGGAAGGGCCUGGGAAGGCUGGAGUCUGCACGAGGACCCCUUGCCCCAGAAGCGGUGCAUAGAGAAUUGUGUGCCCCACAGGGGAGACCGUCUAUGGUGUUUGGAGGUUAAGGAGAGAGUGAGGGGCCUGAGAAGGUCUAACACACCCUUCCCCACUCCAUAGCUGCAGGGCCCCUCAGGAGUGAGGAGGGUGGCCAGUGGCUGGUCGUCCCUCAGUGGGGUCAGACAGGCUGCAGAGCGCCAGCCAUGGCACCAGCCUGUCUGGUUCUCCAAAGGAGGAAGUGGGGACCCUGGGGCCAACGUGGCUUAUGGUGCCCGGGGGGGAAGCCUUGCCUGGUAGUCAGGUGUCCCCGCGCCGCCCGUGUGUUCAGGGUGCGGCUGGCAGUCACUUCACACGCUCUUCCUGCCGAGCCGCCAGGCCGCACCCUGGGAUGCACAAACACUGAGAGAGAGGGGCAGCACAGACCGGGAGCGUCGCCAUGGAAAUAAGGUGUGUUGGGAAGCUGCAGUGCAGAGGAGCUUGUGGGCAGGACACCCUGAUGGUGGGUGCUGGUCAGUGACAGGUCUGUCCGCCCACAAGUGUGGGAAUAGGGGCAUGCUGGGCUAGGGUAGCCAGAGCUGCCAGUGGCCCCACAGCUGGCUGUUCUGUAGCUGCCGCUGUGUUCUCCCCUGGCAGGUAUGGGUGAGUCUGUGUGCAGGCCGAGAGGCACCCCCUUUGGGGGCAGUUGUCCCACGUGCCCCUGGGAGAGACGCAGGACACCAGGACACCGGCCUCUUCCUUCCUUCUGCUUCUCCAGGGAGAGGUACCUCCUCCUCCAGUCACCCCGCCCCACCCCACACAGAGAGGAGGUGGUUCCACACCUGUAGCCAAAGCUCUGCCAGGAGAGCAUCUCCUCUUGGCUCUGGGAAGGGGUGGCCUCCCGCAGCCACACCCUGCACCCUCUGGCAUCUGGCCCUCUGGCGGGGGCCCGGGGUCUGCCCACCAGCCCUAGGGAUGAGUCCAGCAGCUCCUCCGCCCAGCACUGCUCUUGCCCAUUUGGGGGAGCAGUAUCCCUGCAGAGAUUAACGUCUUGGUAAGCUGCUCCCCGCCACCUGGAAUGUCUCUGGUAAGGACAGAAGUCAGUAGAGUAGUGUGGACGUCUGCUCACCCUAGCCCUUGUACAACAAGGACCAUAGCCAGGGUGUCUCCAGGCCUGUGCUCAGCCUGGGGGAAAGUUGUCCAGCAGCCAGCAUGUGGCCUUGGCUGGCUAGUUUCUAACCAGUGGUCAGAGCCCAGGCCCCCCUGCACAGCCAUGAGUGACUCUCAUACUGAGUGGUCAAGAGUCCUUCCAGAGCCCCCAAGGGGCCAGAAGCUCCGAAUGCCCCAAGGAGGACCAGGAAAGAGCUGCCCGGAGGCUGGAGCUCAUUGUUCUGGGCUCCAAGGGGGCCCGUGCUGCCCGCCAUGAGCAGUCUGGUGCCAGGACGCUCCUGCCAGCAGCUGGCAGCCAGCAGAUGAGGGGAGUGGAUGGCCAGCAGCUCUGGCCAUCCCCGGGGAGCUAGUCUUCACUUAAUACCGCCCGCUCCCCCGGGGCCGCACCAGCCUGACUGCCACCACCAGCAGUGCAGUGAGAGAACUGAAUCUGAGGCUUAUCUUUGGAAGUUAAUCCAGCUCAGGGUGGGAUUAACUAGGACAUCCCUUUAGAUAGUGGAACCCAAGGUCAGGGAGAUGGGGGCUGGGAGCAGCCAGCUGGGAGCUGCUGAGCCCUGAUUUUCCUCUAAGUAUAGCUGCUGGUCACCACGGGGAACCGGGUAGGGGCUGAGAGCUGGGGGUGGGAAGGGAGGUAUUGAUGAGGGGGCACGGUUUGGCCCAGAAGUUCUGGGGGGAGCGUAGAGGCUUAAG
rnacentral:lncRNA from 1 species